rnacentral:rRNA from 1 species
UGAGGAAUUUUGGACAAUGGGGGCAACCCUGAUCCAGCGACGCCGCGUGGAGGAUGAAGGUCUUCGGAUUGUAAACUCCUUUUGCAGGGGACGAAUGAGCUCCGUAACCCGGAGAAGUGACGGUACCCUGUGAAUAAGCCACGGCUAACUUCGUGCCAGCAGCCGCGGUAAGACGAAGGUGGCUAGCGUUACUCGGAAUUACUAGGCGUAAAGGGCAGGUAGGCGGUUCGGUAAGUCUAUUGUGAAAUCUUCCGGCUUAACUGGAAGGGGUCAAUAGAUACUGCCGGGCUUGAGUGUGUGAGAGGGUGCUGGAAUUCCCGGUGUAGCGGUGAAAUGCGUAGAGAUCGGGAGGAACACCUAUGGCGAAAGCAGGCACCUGGCACAUUACUGACGCUGAGCUGCGAAAGCUAGGGGAGCAAACAGGAUUAGAUACCCCCGUAGUCC